UUAAAUUGAAGAGUUUGAUCAUGGCUCAGAUUGAACGCUGGCGGCAGGCCUAACACAUGCAAGUCGAACGGUAACAGGAAGCAGCUUGCUGCUUUGCUGACGAGUGGCGGACGGGUGAGUAAUGUCUGGGAAACUGCCUGAUGGAGGGGGAUAACUACUGGAAACGGUAGCUAAUACCGCAUAACGUCGCAAGACCAAAGAGGGGGACCUUCGGGCCUCUUGCCAUCGGAUGUGCCCAGAUGGGAUUAGCUAGUAGGUGGGGUAACGGCUCACCUAGGCGACGAUCCCUAGCUGGUCUGAGAGGAUGACCAGCCACACUGGAACUGAGACACGGUCCAGACUCCUACGGGAGGCAGCAGUGGGGAAUAUUGCACAAUGGGCGCAAGCCUGAUGCAGCCAUGCCGCGUGUAUGAAGAAGGCCUUCGGGUUGUAAAGUACUUUCAGCGGGGAGGAAGGCGAUAAGGUUAAUAACCUUGUCGAUUGACGUUACCCGCAGAAGAAGCACCGGCUAACUCCGUGCCAGCAGCCGCGGUAAUACGGAGGGUGCAAGCGUUAAUCGGAAUUACUGGGCGUAAAGCGCACGCAGGCGGUCUGUCAAGUCGGAUGUGAAAUCCCCGGGCUCAACCUGGGAACUGCAUUCGAAACUGGCAGGCUAGAGUCUUGUAGAGGGGGGUAGAAUUCCAGGUGUAGCGGUGAAAUGCGUAGAGAUCUGGAGGAAUACCGGUGGCGAAGGCGGCCCCCUGGACAAAGACUGACGCUCAGGUGCGAAAGCGUGGGGAGCAAACAGGAUUAGAUACCCUGGUAGUCCACGCCGUAAACGAUGUCGACUUGGAGGUUGUGCCCUUGAGGCGUGGCUUCCGGAGCUAACGCGUUAAGUCGACCGCCUGGGGAGUACGGCCGCAAGGUUAAAACUCAAAUGAAUUGACGGGGGCCCGCACAAGCGGUGGAGCAUGUGGUUUAAUUCGAUGCAACGCGAAGAACCUUACCUACUCUUGACAUCCAGAGAACUUUCCAGAGAUGGAUUGGUGCCUUCGGGAACUCUGAGACAGGUGCUGCAUGGCUGUCGUCAGCUCGUGUUGUGAAAUGUUGGGUUAAGUCCCGCAACGAGCGCAACCCUUAUCCUUUGUUGCCAGCGGUUAGGCCGGGAACUCAAAGGAGACUGCCAGUGAUAAACUGGAGGAAGGUGGGGAUGACGUCAAGUCAUCAUGGCCCUUACGAGUAGGGCUACACACGCGUGCUACAAUGGCGCAUACAAAGAGAAGCGACCUCGCGAGAGCAAGCGGACCUCAUAAAGUGCGUCGUAGUCCGGAUUGGAGUCUGCAACUCGACUCCAUGAAGUCGGAAUCGCUAGUAAUCGUGGAUCAGAAUGCCACGGUGAAUACGUUCCCGGGCCUUGUACACACCGCCCGUCACACCAUGGGAGUGGGUUGCAAAAGAAGUAGGUAGCUUAACCUUCGGGAGGGCGCUUACCACUUUGUGAUUCAUGACUGGGGUGAAGUCGUAACAAGGUAACCGUAGGGGAACCUGCGGUUGGAUCACCUCCUUACCUUAAAGAA
rnacentral:rRNA from 2 species